UACGAAGGGGGCUAGCGUUGCUCGGAAUCACUGGGCGUAAAGCGCACGUAGGCGGACUCUUAAGUCGGUGGUGAAAUCCUGGAGCUCAACUCCAGAACUGCCUUCGAUACUGGGAGUCUCGAGUCCGAGAGAGGUGAGUGGAACUGCGAGUGUAGAGGUGAAAUUCGUAGAUAUUCGCAAGAACACCCAGUGGCGAAAGG
rnacentral:rRNA from 1 species